rnacentral:tRNA from 1 species
GCUUUCGUAGUGUAACGAUAGUACACUGGGCAUCUAUUCUAGAGGUCCAGGUUCGAGUCCCGGCGAGGGCA